rnacentral:rRNA from 1 species
CCUACGGGUGGCAGCAGUGGGGAAUAUUGGACAAUGGGCGAAAGCCUGAUCCAGCCAUGCCGCGUGUGUGAAGAAGGCCUUCAGGUUGUAAAGCACUUUCAGUGGGGAAGAAAGCCUUGGGGCUAAUACCCUCGAGGAAGGACAUCACCCACAGAAGAAGCACCGGCUAACUCCGUGCCAGCAGCCGCGGUAAUACGGAGGGUGCGAGCGUUAAUCGGAAUUACUGGGCGUAAAGCGCGCGUAGGCGGUCUGAUAAGCCGGUUGUGAAAGCCCCGGGCUCAACCUGGGAACGGCAUCCGGAACUGUCAGGCUAGAGUGCAGGAGAGGAAGGUAGAAUUCCCGGUGUAGCGGUGAAAUGCGUAGAGAUCGGGAGGAAUACCAGUGGCGAAGGCGGCCUUCUGGACUGACACUGACGCUGAGGUGCGAAAGCGUGGGUAGCAAACAGGAUUAGAUACCCCAGUAGUC